GGCCCGGUGGUGAAACGGUAUCACAUCCCUUUCUCAUAAAAUUUGCUUCCGAAGAUAUGUUGGGAGGUUUCUUGUUCGAAUCAAGGUCAGGCCG